UACUGUUUUUACUUGUAUGUAUCUUACAUUCCAAUCGUCAGUGAAUGUCAAAUUUAAACUAGGUUUGAAAGCCAUCCUCAUUUUAAUCAUUUGUAAAUUAACCGUUAACAUCAUUUUUCACAAUUGUUUUCUUUUGCUGUUAAGAAGAGUCUACAAUAACUAUGAUCAGGGAUGAAACCAAUUUACAAAAAAUAAAUCUGUUAUUUACUCAUCCACUUUUAUUCAAAUCAACCUACUCCUACACUAAAUUCAACAAAUUUUCUAGUGAUACCAACAUUUUAUUCAAAUGUGUCAAUAUCAAGAAUCAAGUAAAUUGUAAUAAUUCCUGGUCCAAUCGCCAUGAUAUUAUUGAUUCAUGUUGCAAUCUCUUCUGCCUUUCUGAUUCUAUGGUCAACUCUAUUGCUCUGAUAAUCAACAGUUGGAAAUAUACAACAUUUUUAUUGAAUCCCAUUAUAUUAACUUAUAGUUACAAUAUAUCUUCAUCUUUAUUAUUACCUCAAUUGUUAUCAUCACUAUUGUUUUUAUGUUUUUACAAAUAUUGCCAGCAUUAAUACAAGGAUCUGUGAGAAAAACAAGUAAACAAAAAUGUCCAGCCCAAAGCCAUCUAAAGUUGCCUCACCUUCAACCUCUAAAUUGCAAUCAUACUCUAGUUCACAUUCGUCAUCAUCACCUCCACCUUCCUCUACAUCUAAAGUAAAAAAAGAUGAUGUAUCUAAAGGACUUAGAUCUGUUAAAUUAACGAAAGGUUCAUCUGGAUUAGGUUUUAAUAUUGUCGGUGGAGAAGAUGGUGAAGGUAUCUUUAUUUCCUUUUUAUUAGCCGGCGGUCCUGCUGAUUUGUCCGGUAAAUUGUUCAAAGGUGACCAAAUAAUCUCAGUUAAUGGAAUUGAUCUUGGUGGUUGUUCUCAUGAAGAAGCAGCGGCUAUUCUCAAAGCGUCAACAGGCGAAAUAACCCUUCUAGUAGAAUACCAUCCGGAUGAUUAUGCCAGAUUUGAAAAGAAAAUGGUAGAAAUGAGAGAAGGUUUGAUGAUGAACUCUUCUGGAAGUUUAAUCACCCGAUCAAAGAGAAGCCUAUUUGUCCGCUCUCUAUUUAACUAUGACCCAACACGUGAUUCUGGUUUACCGAGUCGAGGCUUAGCUUUCUCAUUCGGAGAUAUCCUAAAUGUAAUCAAUGCUUCAGAUGAUGAAUGGUGGCAAGCUAAAAGGAUUAAUCCCGGAGGUGGACAAGAAACUAAUUUUGGCAUUAUUCCAUCAAAGGCAAGAGUAGAGAAGAAGGAAAAAGCCAGAUUAAGAUAUGUUAAAUUUUCAGACAAUGGUGAAUACAGUUCAAAUGGCAAAAAAUCUAGCUCUGGCCUAUUGGUUGAAAAGAAAAGGAAAAAUUUCUCAUUCUCAAAAAUAUUAGCCUUCAUUCGAUCCAAGGAUGGUGAAAAAGACCAAAAUGACAGUAGAGAGUAUUCUUUAACUAGGGAUAAACACCAUUUCUCAUCCUCUGAAUCCAACAUUGGUGCUGGAACUAGUGCCGAAGCUGAUAAAAGUAGAGAAGAGCCUGUGCAUUCAAUAUUUUCUUAUGAACCUGUUGUUAAAAAGAAAAUUGAUUAUGUUAGACCGAUAAUCAUUUUGGGUCCAUUUAAAGACAAAUUCUAUGAUGAUCUAAUUGCAUUGCCUGAAAAAUUUUGUGCCUGUGUACCUCAUACAACAAGGUCGCCUCGAGAUGAUGAGGUUGAUGGACGUGAUUAUUAUUUUGUGUCAAGAGAAGCAAUGGAAAAAGAUAUCGCUGCCAAUCUGUUCAUUGAAUCCGGACAGUAUAAAGAUAAUCUUUAUGGUACUUCAGUUGCUGCUGUAAAGGCUGUUGCUGGAACUUUUAAAACUGGACGUCACUGUGUUCUUGAUGUUAGUAUCAGUGCUAUUCAGCGUCUUCAAGAUGCUGGUUUGGUACCAAUUUGCAUUUUAAUCAAGCCUAAAUCGGUCGAAAGCCUGAUGGAAAUAAACAAACACCUUUCUUGGGAGCAAGCUAAAGCCAUGUUUGAUAAGAAUGUAAAAAUUGAGCAAGAAUUUGCCGAUCAUUUUACCGCAAUCAUAACAGGAUUUACUUUGGAAGAAUUUUUAACUAAAAUUUUGUUGAUAAUUGAUGAAUACCGUGGACCAGAAAUUUGGGUGCCAUCAGAAGAAGACAUUUAGGAAAUUUUAAUUAUAAUUUUCACAGUUGUGAACAAUUUAUCAUGAUAAAUUAAUUAAUUAUUAAUGAGUAAUCAACGAAUGUUUGAUCAUUUAAAACACU